CCCUGAGAUAUCUCUGAAGAGGUGACCCAAAAUAUUCUAGCACAGGGGUGGCUAUGAGUGAACUUGAUGCUUAAAUAUAUGAGACUUCUGGUUUUCCUUCCUAUUAAAAGUGAAUAAUGUCAAAGGACUUUCACACUGAGGUCACAGGUCUCCUUUCUGGCUUCCUUACGGACAUCACUGAUAGUUUCUCAAGACCCUAACAGAAUCAAAUGCUCCCCACAUGCUGAGCAUUAGGUGGACUAAUACAGAGCUCACCAGUCAUUUUGGCUUCACCACAGAGAACAGGACAUGGGAGAUGGCUGUGCAUGUGUUUUGGGAAACUUUAAACAGGACAAAUGAUGAUGCUGCUGGCAGGCUGGGUCUCGAGGCUCCCUUCCUAGGCUACGCCAGUAUCUGAGCAGUAUUUGUCUGGCGCACAUCAGAGUAGGAGGCUGUGCGGUAGUGGGGACAACACAGACUGAGCACUGGACCCUGCACUUGGAUGGUCCCAGCCCUGGGGUCUCCUCAGUGUAGGGGAGUUCACAGUGGGGAAGGAACAGGCUCAGCAAUGACUGUUGGCCGAUAUGGAAAGAGUGUCCUCUGCUUCUGGGUCCUAAGGCACUUGGGCAGGGUGCCUGCUGCUGCUGGCCAACAACAGGUCCUUUGGAUCUGGAAGGAAGGAAGGAAAGGAAGGAAGACACACUGGCAGAUCAGACCAGCCUGGUAGGGUGGGAGGGGGCACUGCUGAAGAUUCUUUAUGUGACCAUUUAUCUACCAGGUGUACAGACAGAGAAUGCAGCUCUAGGCCAAAAACCAUAAUUAACACUGCUUUCCAAUUGGACAGA
rnacentral:lncRNA from 1 species